UACAGAGGUCUCAAGCGUUGUUCGGAUUCAUUGGGCGUAAAGGGUGCGUAGGUGGCGCGGUAAGUCGGGUGUGAAAUUUCGGAGCUUAACUCCGAAACUGCAUUCGAUACUGCCGUGCUUGAGGACUGGAGAGGAGACUGGAAUUUACGGUGUAGCGGUGAAAUGCGUAGAUAUCAGGAGGAACACCUGUGGCGAAAGCGGCUCACUGGACCACAACUGACGCUGAGGCGCGAAAGCUAGGGGAGCAAACAGG
rnacentral:rRNA from 1 species